CUUUAUUAGCAGCAUGACAACAGACUAAUACAAAGAAUAAGAAUAGAUCCUGAAUGGCAAAAUGGUUAGACUCUCAAAUAAAUUUUCUGCCUUUUCUGUGCCCCACGCUAUCUCAGAGGAAAGAACAUUUUCCAGGUUCCUUCUUCCUCUGGCUUCCAGACAGGUUCAGCCAAUGGAAAACACUGGUGGAAAAUUGAAGUACAGGAGGAAACAAGAAGGACUAUGACUGGAGCUUCUCUUUACUGCAAUAUAGAACAGCAUCAAAGGCAAAUAAGACCAAUAGAAUCACAUUGCUAAUACUGCCCUCGUUUCGUUGUGUGCACACCAUCAAACAGGCAGAUGAAGAGGAUCCUUGUCUUGGUAAGGGAAGAAGUCACCACACAUCCCAGCUGGAGGAGGGAACAUGACUUUGGCUCACUUCAGCACCCUCACCAUUGUUCCAGAUAUCCAAGGCCCUCCUUGGACCUCAACAAGACUUAAGCCGCUGCAGAGACGGUGUAAAUGUGGAGUGGCUGGUUGGGGACAGAGUGAAACUCCUGGAAUCAGAUGGUGAUCUGCUGAUAAGCUGGGUCUGUGCCAGCCAGCAGAGUCCAUGCGUGCAAGAGCCUGGAGUCUCCCCCUGUGAAGGCUUGGGGCUGGUUGGGCAGUAAGCCUCACAGUAAUCCUUAGUCCUGUUAGAUAGGAGUUCUAAAUUUAUUUUCAAAGAAUUAAUAUGUCAGUAUUCAAUUAUUUGCCUUCUACUUUUAAACUUAACUUCCUCAUAAAGCAACCUUUUUCCAUUACCUACCCCACCCUAACUCAUUCUGAUCACCUGCUCCACCCUAACUCAUUCUGACCACCUGCUCCACCCUAACUCAUUCUGACCACCUGCUCCUCCCUAACUCAUUAGGAUUACCUGCUACCUGCUCUGCCCUGACUCCCGCCAAAGCUCUCAUCCCAUCAUUCUCUUUCAAUUAGGCAAUCGGAAUUAGUUUAGCCUGUGUGGUCUAACC
rnacentral:lncRNA from 1 species